CUUUACCAGCGCGUUCUCUUUGGGUCUCUCAGUGACACAGGGGUUGGCAGACGCCGGACAUGACCGGGACUUCAUUCGGGGUGAAAUGUUCAGGCAAAUAAAGGUUAUCCAGGCACGCAAUGGACUUCCUGACAUCAACUAUCCAGGUGACAUCCUGGAUAGGCCUCUUCAAAGAUGGCCAAGGAAGUGCCCACAGGUGGACAGAUGGCUCAGCCCCCACCUACAUCAACUGGGACUCCAGGAAAUUGGAUGAUAAUAGAACCACCCCAGCCUGUGUUAUGAUGCUCUACCAGCGACACUGGAGCAACUCCUCUUGCAAAUCAGAGUCUCCCGUUUACAUCUGUGAGAAGAGGCAGAGCUGCUGACCUAGGCCCCUACCCCAUAAGAUUGACGUAAACCUCUUGUUGUGCAUCCUCAACCUCCAUCCCUGCCCUCUCUGGGCUCUGAAUCCCCAGAGGCAACAAUAAAGGACGUUUCUCCAAA